rnacentral:tRNA from 1 species
GGUUUCGUCGUAUAAUGGUUAGUACAUGAGAUUCUGAUUUGACAUUCAGGAGUUUCUCAUAAUCUGGGUUCGAUCCCCAGCGAGACCU